AGAGUUUGAUCCUGGCUCAGGAUGAACGCUGGCGGCGUGCCUAACACAUGCAAGUCGAGCGAAGUAUUAAUGAAGCUUGCUUUAUUAAUACUAGCGGCGGACGGGUGAGUAACGCGUGGGCAACCUGCCCUACACAGAGGGAUAACAGUUAGAAAUGGCUGCUAAUACCUCAUAAGCUCCCACUGCGGCAUCGCAGAGGGAGAAAAGAUUUAUCGGUGUAGGAGGGACCCGCGUCUGAUUAGCUGGUUGGUGAGGUAACGGCUCACCAAGGCGACGAUCAGUAGCCGACCUGAGAGGGUGAUCGGCCACAUUGGAACUGAGACACGGUCCAAACUCCUACGGGAGGCAGCAGUGGGGAAUAUUGCACAAUGGGGGAAACCCUGAUGCAGCGACGCCGCGUGAAGGAAGAAGUAUUUCGGUAUGUAAACUUCUAUCAAUAGGGACGAAGAAAGUGACGGUACCUAACUAAGAAGCACCGGCUAAAUACGUGCCAGCAGCCGCGGUAAUACGUAUGGUGCGAGCGUUAUCCGGAUUUACUGGGUGUAAAGGGUGAGUAGGCGGUUAUGCAAGUCAUAUGUGAAAUGUCGGGGCUUAACCCCGGCGCUGCAUAAGAAACUGUAUAACUAGAGUGCAGGAGAGGCAAGCGGAAUUCCCAGUGUAGCGGUGAAAUGCGUAGAUAUUGGGAAGAACACCGGUGGCGAAGGCGGCUUGCUGGACUGUAACUGACGCUGAGUCACGAAAGCGUGGGGAGCGAACAGGAUUAGAUACCCUGGUAGUCCACGCCGUAAACGAUGAGUGCU
rnacentral:rRNA from 1 species